UAGCCAAUGAUGGAGAGUGACUAUGUCCCA
rnacentral:piRNA from 1 species